GAUGAACGCUGACAGAAUGCUUAACACAUGCAAGUCGAUUCGAUUUACCUUCGGGUAUUGAGGAUGGCGGACGGGUGAGUAACGCGUAAGGAACUUGCCUCUUGGUCUGGGACAACUGUUGGAAACGACAGCUAAUACCAGAUAUUAUGAGAUUCUCGCAUGAGAAACUUAUGAAAGCUAUAUGCGCCAAGAGAGAGCCUUGCGUUCCAUUAGCUAGUUGGUGGGGUAACGGCCCACCAAGGCGACGAUGGAUAGCCGGCCUGAGAGGGUGAACGGCCACAAGGGGACUGAGACACGGCCCUUACUCCUACGGGAGGCAGCAGUGGGGAAUAUUGGACAAUGGGCCACAAGCCUGAUCCAGCAAUUCUGUGUGCACGAUGAAGGUCUUCGGAUUGUAAAGUGCUUUCAGUUGGGAAGAAGAAAGUGACGGUACCAACAGAAGAAGCGACGGCUAAAUACGUGCCAGCAGCCGCGGUAAUACGUAUGUCGCAAGCGUUAUCCGGAUUUAUUGGGCGUAAAGCGCGUCUAGGCGGAAAAAUAAGUCUGAUGUUAAAAUGCGGGGCUCAACUCCGUAUUGCGUUGGAAACUAUUUUUCUAGAGUACUGGAGAGGUGGGCGGAACUACAAGUGUAGAGGUGAAAUUCGUAGAUAUUUGUAGGAAUGCCGAUGGAGAAGUCAGCUCACUGNACAGAUACUGACGCUAAAGCGCGAAAGCGUGGGGAGCAAACAGGAUUAGAUACCCUGGUAGUCCACGCCNUAAACGAUGAUCACUAG
rnacentral:rRNA from 1 species